rnacentral:piRNA from 1 species
UGUUUUACGCCUCUGUUUGGAGCACUCGC